rnacentral:rRNA from 1 species
UUUUGAUUGCUUAAUAAUCAGUAAGACCUGCUCAAUGAAACUUAAAUAGCCGCGAUUUUCGUGCUAAGGUAGCAUAAUCAAUUGCCUUUUAAUUGAAGGCUGGAAUGAAAGGUUCUACAUAUAAAAUACUUUAUUAACAAUAUUUCUUUAAACUAAUCUAUAAAUAAAAAAGUUUAUAUUAUAAAGAAGGACGACAAGACCCUGUCGAGCUUGACUUCAGUUUCACUGGGGAGGUGAAAAAAUUAUUCCUUUUUCAUCACUUUUUAGAAAAAAAUAGUGAAAGAACUUUGAACUAGCUACCGCAGGGAUAACAGCACAAUUUAUUUUAGGAGAUCUUAUCUUAAAAUUAGAUUAUGACCUCGAUGUUGAAUUAAAUUACCUUUAGGAGAAGAAGCUUAAAAGGAAAGUCUGUUCGACUUUUAAAAUUUU